rnacentral:rRNA from 1 species
ACGUAUGGUGCAAGCGUUAUCCGGAUUUACUGGGCGUAAAGGGAGCGCAGGCGGUGCGGCAAGUCUGAUGUGAAAGCCCGGGGCUCAACCCCGGUACUGCAUUGGAAACUGUCGUACUAGAGUGUCGGAGGGGUAAGCGGAAUUCCUAGUGUAGCGGUGAAAUGCGUAGAUAUUAGGAGGAACACCAGUGGCGAAGGCGGCUUACUGGACGAUAACUGACGCUGAGGCUCGAAAGCGUGGGGAGCAAACAG